rnacentral:rRNA from 1 species
GUGGGGAAUAUUGGGCAAUGGGGGCAACCCUGACCCAGCGACGCCGCGUGAGGGAAGACGGCCUUCGGGUUGUAAACCGCUUUCAGCAGGGACGAAGCGUGAGUGACGGUACCUGCAGAAGAAGCACCGGCUAACUACGUGCCAGCAGCCGCGGUGAUACGUAGGGUGCGAGCGUUGUCCGGAUUUAUUGGGCGUAAAGAGCUUGUAGGCGGUUGGUUGCGUCGAAAGUGCAAACUCAGGGCUUAACUCUGGGCCUGCUUUCGAUACGGGCUGACUGGAGGAAGGUAGGGGAGAAUGGAAUUCCCGGUGGAGCGGUGGAAUGCGCAGAUAUCGGGAGGAACACCAGUGGCGAAGGCGGUUCUCUGGACCUUUCCUGACGCUGAGAAGCGAAAGCGUGGGGAGCAAACAGGCUUAGAAACCCUGGUAGUCC